AGAUUACUAGCUUAAUAGGUAAAGUACUCGCUUUUUAAGCGAUUUGUUCUGAGUUCGAAUCUUUGGUAAUCUAA
rnacentral:tRNA from 1 species